UAAGGAAUAUUGGACAAUGGAGGCAACUCUGAUCCAGCCAUGCCGCGUGAAGGAAGACGGCCUUAUGGGUUGUAAACUUCUUUUAUACAGGAAGAAACCUUUCCACGUGUGGAAAGUUGACGGUACUGUAAGAAUAAGGAUCGGCUAACUCCGUGCCAGCAGCCGCGGUAAUACGGAGGAUCCAAGCGUUAUCCGGAAUUAUUGGGUUUAAAGGGUCCGCAGGCUGUUUGUUAAGUCAGAGGUGAAAUCCUACCGCUCAACGGUAGAACUGCCUUUGAUACUGGCAAACUUGAGUUAUUGUGAAGUAGUUAGAAUGUGUAGUGUAGCGGUGAAAUGCUUAGAGAUUACAUAGAAUACCGAUUGCGGAGGCAGAUCACUAACAAUAUAUUGACGCUGAUGGACGAAAGCGUAGGUAGCGAACGGGAUUAGAUACCCUGGUAGUCUACGCCGUAAACGAUGGAUACUAGUUGUUUGGUUUUCGGACUGAGUGACUAAGCGAAAGUGAUAAGUAUCCCACCUGGGGAGUACGAUCGCAAGAUUGAAACUCAAAGGAAUUGACGGGGGCCCGCACAAGCGGUGGAGCAUGUGGUUUAAUUCGAUGAUACGCGAGGAACCUUACC
rnacentral:rRNA from 1 species